rnacentral:rRNA from 1 species
GACGAACGCUGGCGGCGUGCUUAACACAUGCAAGUCGAGCGGUAAGGCCUUUCGGGGUACACGAGCGGCGAACGGGUGAGUAACACGUGGGUGACCUGCCCUCCACUUCGGGAUAAGCCUGGGAAACUGGGUCUAAUACCGGAUAGGACCAUUCCAUGCAUGUGGGGUGGUGGAAAGUUUUGUCGGUGGGGGAUGGGCCCGCGGUCUAUCAGCUUGUUGGUGGGGUGAUGGCCUACCAAGGCGACGACGGAUAGCCGGCCUGAGAGGGUGAUCGGCCACAGCUGGACAGGGACACGGGCCAGACUCCUACGGGAGGCAGCAGUGGGGAAUCUUGCGCAAUGGGCGGAAGCCUGACGAAGCAACUCCGCGGGGGGGAUGACGGCCUUCGGGUUGUAAACCUCUUUCGCGAUCGACGAAGGCCCAUUUUGUGGUGGGUUGACGGUAGGUCGAGAAGAAGCACCGACCAACUACGUGCCAGCCGCCGCAGUAAAAC